rnacentral:piRNA from 1 species
UAAGCACACUGGCUGUCGCAAGAUGCU